GACUUGGAGAACUUUUCUGUCUUACAAGAGGAUUGUAAAAUGCAACUAUCAGCACUCUGUCAAAAUGCACCAACCAGCACUCUGGAGCUAGCAAGAGGAUUGUAAAAUGCACCAAUCAGAGAAAAUUGAAACAGGUGUUGUGCUCUCAAACUAAGGAUAAUUUCCGACUUGUUACAUGGUUACCAACAAAGAAAAAAGAGAAACAUCUUAACACCUGAUUAAUCACUCCAGACUCUGCCUGCUUGGGCUCUGUCACUCUUUAAAUGUGUUACUUUGGACGAGUUACUUAAAG
rnacentral:lncRNA from 1 species